GACGAACGCUGGCGGCGUGCUUAACUCAUGCAAGUCGAGCGGAAAGGCCACUUCGGUGGUACUCGAGCGGCGAACGGGUGAGUAACACGUGAGUAAUCUGCCCCUGGCUUUGGGAUAGCCACCGGAAACGGUGAUUAAUACCGGAUACGACCACUUCUCGCAUGGGAUGGUGGUGGAAAGUUUUUUCGGCCAGGGAUGUGCUCGCGGCCUAUCAGCUUGAUGGUGAGGUAAUGGCUCACCAUGGCUUCGACGGGUAGCCGGCCUGAGAGGGUGACCGGUAACACUGGGACUGAGACACGGCCCAGACUCCUACGGGAGGCAGCAGUAGGGAAUAUUGGACAAUGGGCGGAAGCCUGAUCCAGCAACGCCGCGUGAGGGAUGACGGCCUUCGGGUUGUAAACCUCUUUCAGCAGGGACGAAGCGCAAGUGACGGUACCUGCAGAAGAAGCACCGGCCAACUACGUGCCAGCCGCCGCGGUAA
rnacentral:rRNA from 1 species